CCCCAGGAAAAGUGCUGCCUUAAGAAAGGUGCCUUUGUUUCAGUCUAAGGGGUUUGAAGCCUUAAAGGAGGCCUGUUUUAAAAAGUGUGCUGGUAUCCUUGAAAUGGGAGGAGUCAUCACCUGCUCAUGUGAUGGGAAUUAAACAGAUGGUUGAGUUAGAAGCUGGAAGAGGUGAUCUCAGUGUGAUGGGAAAAGUUUGUCAAAGAGAGAGAGAGACUAAAAAUGGAAUCACUAAAAUUUGGGUUCCAAUUACUGAUGCAAGGAAACUCAUCACCCCAUACCAGAUCUGGAAACACCUGGAGAAGAAGUGGCUUUCUAAGACCAGACACAUGGAGCCCUUCACAGGACACACAGGAACUUCUGGUCAGGCUGCGUGCCGAAAAGGGAGAAAAAGCAACACACGUAACCAUUGUGGCAACACAGGAGAGACUCAAAGUGUCUCACAAUAA
rnacentral:lncRNA from 11 species